rnacentral:rRNA from 1 species
GGAUCCAGACUUUGAUUCUGGCUCAGGAUGAACGCUAGCUACAGGCUUAACACAUGCAAGUCGAGGGGAAACGACAUCGAAAGCUUGCUUUUGAUGGGCGUCGACCGGCGCACGGGUGAGUAACGCGUAUCCAACCUGCCCACCACUUGGGGAUAACCUUGCGAAAGUAAGACUAAUACCCAAUGAUAUCUCUAGAAGACAUCUGAAAGAGAUUAAAGAUUUAUCGGUGAUGGAUGGGGAUGCGUCUGAUUAGCUUGUUGGCGGGGUAACGGCCCACCAAGGCUACGAUCAGUAGGGGUUCUGAGAGGAAGGUCCCCCACAUUGGAACUGAGACACGGUCCAAACUCCUACGGGAGGCAGCAGUGAGGAAUAUUGGUCAAUGGACGAGAGUCUGAACCAGCCAAGUAGCGUGCAGGAUGACGGCCCUAUGGGUUGUAAACUGCUUUUAUAAGGGAAUAAAGUGAGUCUCGUGAGACUUUUUGCAUGUACCUUAUGAAUAAGGACCGGCUAAUUCCGUGCCAGCAGCCGCGGUAAUACGGAAGGUCCGGGCGUUAUCCGGAUUUAUUGGGUUUAAAGGGAGCGUAGGCCGGAGAUUAAGCGUGUUGUGAAAUGUAGAUGCUCAACAUCUGCACUGCAGCGCGAACUGGUUUCCUUGAGUACGCACAAAGUGGGCGGAAUUCGUGGUGUAGCGGUGAAAUGCUUAGAUAUCACGAAGAACUCCGAUUGCGAAGGCAGCUCACUGGAGCGCAACUGACGCUGAAGCUCGAAAGUGCGGGUAUCGAACAGGAUUAGAUACCCUGGUAGUCCGCACGGUAAACGAUGGAUGCCCGCUGUUGGUCUGAAUAGGUCAGCGGCCAAGCGAAAGCAUUAAGCAUCCCACCUGGGGAGUACGCCGGCAACGGUGCAACUCAAAUGAAUUGACGG